rnacentral:misc_RNA from 1 species
GAUGAAGAACGUAGCGAAAUGCGAUAAGUAAUGUGAAUUGCAGAAUUCAGUGAAUCAUCGAAUCUUUGAACGCACAUUGCGCCCGCCAGCAUUCUGGCGGGCAUGCCUGUUCGAGCGUCAUUUCAACCCUCGAGCCCCCCCGGGGGCCUCGGUGUUGGGGGACGGCACACCAGCCGCCCCCGAAAUGCAGUGGCGACCCCGCCGCAGCCUCCCCUGCGUAGUAGCACACACCUCGCACCGGAGCGCGGAGGCGGUCACGCCGUAAAACGCCCAACUUUCUUAGAGUUGACCUCGGAUCAGGUAGGAAUACCCGCUGAACUUAAGCAUAUCAAUAACGGAGGA